AUCCAGAUGACGAGUCCCAAAUAGGGAGAAAUGUGUAUUCUGGAU
rnacentral:hammerhead_ribozyme from 1 species